rnacentral:rRNA from 1 species
GUAGGUGGCAAGCGUUGUCCGGGAAUUAUUGGGGCGUAAAGCGCGCGCAGGCGGUUCUUUAAGUCUGAUGUGAAAGCCCACGGGCUCAACCGUGGAGGGCCAUUGGAAACUGGAGAACUUGAGUACAGAAGAGGAAAGCGGAAUUCCACGUGUAGCGGUGAAAUGCGUAGAGAUGUGGAGGAACACCAGUGGCGAAGGCGGCUUUCUGGUCUGUAACUGACGCUGAGGCGCGAAAGCGUGGGGAGCAAACAGGAUUAGAUACCCUGGUAGUCCACGCCGUAAACGAUGAGUGCUAAGUGUUAGGGGGUUUCCGCCCCUUAGUGCUGCAGCUAACGCAUUAAGCACUCCGCCUGGGGAGUACGGCCGCAAAGGCUGA